GACGAACGCUGGCGGUGUGCUUAACACAUGCAAGUGGUGCGACGAACCAGAGCUUGCUCUGGGGCAAAGCCGCGAACGGGUGAGUAACACGUGGGUAAUCUACCCCGAUGACCGGGACAACCCGAGGAAACUCGGGCUAAUACCGGAUGUGGUGCGGAGACAUAAGUCUCUUCACUAAAGGUAGCUUCGGCUUCCGCAUUGGGAGGGGCCCGCGGCCCAUUAGCUUGUUGGUGGGGUCAAGGCCUACCAAGGCAACGAUGGGUAGCUGGUCUGAGAGGACGAUCAGCCACACUGGGACUGAGACACGGCCCAGACUCCUACGGGAGGCAGUAGUGGGGAAUCUUGCGCAAUGCGCGAAAGCGUGACGCAGCAACACCGCGUGAGGGAAGAAGGCCUUAGGGUUGUAAACCUCUUUCAGAUGGGACGAAGGUUCUCCGGUGAAUAGCCGAGAGGAUUGACGGUACCGUCAGAAGAAGCUCCGGCUAACUACGUG
rnacentral:rRNA from 1 species